rnacentral:rRNA from 1 species
GAUGAACGCUAGCGGCAGGCCUAACACAUGCAAGUCGAGGGGUAACGGGGAGCUUGCUCCGCCGACGACCGGCGCACGGGUGCGCACCGCGUAUGGAACCUACCUUGUACAGGGGAAUAGCCCAGGGAAACUUGGAUUAAUGCCCCGUAGUACUAUUAUUCGGCAUCGUUUAAUAGUUAAAGCCUUCGGGCGGUACAAGAUGGCCAUGCGUCCCAUUAGCUGGUUGGUAAGGUAACGGCUUACCAAGGCUACGAUGGGUAGGGGCCCUGAGAGGGGGAUCCCCCACACUGGUACUGAGACACGGACCAGACUCCUACGGGAGGCAGCAGUGAGGAAUAUUGGACAAUUGAGGAGACUCUGAUCCAGCCAUGCCGCGUGCAGGAAGAAUGCCCUAUGGGUAGUAAACUGCUUUUAUACGGGAAGAAAAAGAGCUACGUGUAGCUUACUGACGGUACCGUAAGAAUAAGGACCGGCUAACUCCGUGCCAGCAGCCGCGGUAAUACGGAGGGUCCGAGCGUUAUCCGGAAUUAUUGGGUUUAAAGGGUCCGUAGGCGGGCCGAUAAGUCAGGGGUGAAAGUUUGCAGCUCAACUGUAAAAUUGCCUUUGAUACUGUUGGUCUUGAGUUAUAGUGAAGUUGCCGGAAUAUGUAGUGUAGCGGUGAAAUGCAUAGAUAUUACAUAGAACACCGAUUGCGAAGGCAGGUGACUAACUAUAUACUGACGCUGAUGGACGAAAGCGUGGGGAGCGAACAGGAUUAGAUACCCCUGGUAGUCCACGCCGUAAACGAUGGAUACUAGCUGUCCGAGGCCUUGAGUCUUGGGCGGCCAAGCGAAAGUGAUAAGUAUCCCACCUGGGGAGUACGUUCGCAAGAAUGAAACUCAAAGGAAUUGACGGGGGCCCGCACAAGCGGUGGAGCAUGUGGUUUAAUUCGAUGAUACGCGAGGAACCUUACCAGGGCUUAAAUGCAUAUUGACAGGUCUAGAGAUAGAUUUUCCUUCGGGCAAUUUGCAAGGUGCUGCAUGGUUGUCGUCAGCUCGUGCCGUGAGGUGUCAGGUUAAGUCCUAUAACGAGCGCAACCCCUACCGUUAGUUGCCAGCAUGUCAUGAUGGGGACUCUAACGGGACUGCCGGUGCAAACCGUGAGGAAGGUGGGGAUGACGUCAAAUCAUCACGGCCCUUACGUCCUGGGCCACACACGUGCUACAAUGGCAGGUACAGAGAGCAGCCAUGUCGCAAGGCAGAGCGAAUCUAUAAAACCUGUCACAGUUCGGAUCGGGGUCUGCAACUCGACCCCGUGAAGCUGGAAUCGCUAGUAAUCGGAUAUCAGCCAUGAUCCGGUGAAUACGUUCCCGGGCCUUGUACACACCGCCCGUCAAGCCAUGGAAGCCGGGAGUGCCUGAAGUCCGUCACCGUAAGGAGCGGCCUAGGGCAAGAUCGGUAACUAGGGCUAAGUCGUAACAAGGUAGCCGUACCGGAAGGUGC